GACGUAGGGCGCGAGCGUUGUCCGGAUUUAUUGGGCGUAAAGAGCUCGUAGGCGGUGUGUCGCGUCGGCCGUGAAAACCUGCAGCUUAACUGUGGGCUUGCGGUCGAUACGGGCAUCACUGGAGUUCGGCAGGGGAGACUGGAAUUCCUGGUGUAGCGGUGAAAUGCGCAGAUAUCAGGAGGAACACCAGUGGCGAAGGCGGCUGACUGGGCAUGUAUUGACGCUGAGGUGCGAAAGCGUGGGGGAGCAAACAGG
rnacentral:rRNA from 1 species